rnacentral:lncRNA from 1 species
AAAAGCCCCAGGGUUAAUGUUCACCUGAGUACUUCAGUGGUAGGAAAAACCUGUCCAUUGUAGGAAAAUAAUGCCAAAUGUCUGCCUAAUGUCUGAGAAGCAGUAUACACACUUUUCUCAUAGCUUUUAAAAUUAUUCCAUAGAUUAUGUUUUGGGAACGUUAAAUGAAGGAGAGUGCUAUUAUACUUUGGGAAACAUUCACAAAUACAUACAUGUAUAUCAUCUCAGAAUGCUUCUUUAAAGGCUGGCAUUUUAAAACUAUUUGAAAUUAUUUCAAUUGCCUUAUAACACUUAAAAAUCAUAUUAGUAUUAUUUCAAAUAUUCAUUAGCUAGAAUUGGGUAUAGGAAACUUUAGUAAUUUAGAGUUGGUACGCUGUAAAUAUAAACACUUUCUCUCAAGAAAGAAGUCUUUUUUUGACAUUGAUGAGAGAACUGUAAGUUAACCAGUCAGUCUGAGUCUUUGGCAUUAGUUGUCACUAAGUACACUUCUUAAAUGUCUUGUGCUAUCCUAAACUGAAAUUUACUAAUAAGUUGUAAUGUAGUCACAAUUAAAUCAUAUAUAUACAUACUUAUUACCAUAAUGUAUUAAUUUUCUGUAAAAUCAUAGCUUAUUUUAGAACAGAAAUUUAUGUAAAUAGUCAAAAACAUACACAACCUGGAACCAAAUAAGUUCAUUUACUUCUAAAAAAAAGCAAAACAUUAUCUCCCUUUUCUUCACCCAGUCUCUCCCUCAUUCUCUUUCCUUCUUCCCCCUUCCAGCUAUCUCCCUCUUUCUCUCUCAUUUCUUUAUUUUGCCUGAGCUAUCCUGAAACUUAGGUCCUGUGCUUCUCUAGUCUGAACUGAGAUUGCAAGCAUAGCACCCUUCUGCUGGAUGCCAUGUUUACUUUCAACCCCCA